AAAGUCAGCCUAUGAGUCAGACUCGUCUUUGUAUGUACUAUAAAGUACAAGUAUAAAAGUAUUACUGUAAUACAGCAAACUACAUUAACUUACAGUAAAUGAUUGCAAGUCAAAAAGCUUACGUGCAGUGUUUAAUCACUGCAUGUUUAUACAUAUACGUAUCUGACUACUUUAUUUACAAAUGAAAUUAAAGUAUAAUUAAAAUAAAAACCGAACUGCAAGAUGGCGCUUUAUAAAUAUUUAGUCGCAAGAUGUUCGCCGUUUUAAAGAUGGCAAAUCUACGGGAAUGUAUUAAACUGCCUGUGGUGGAU